CAGAAGGGAGCUUGCUCCCGGAUGUUAGCGGCGGACGGGUGAGUAACACGUGGGUAACCUGCCUGUAAGACUGGGAUAACUCCGGGAAACCGGAGCUAAUACCGGAUAGUUCCUUGAACCGCAUGGUUCAAGGAUGAAAGACGGUUUCGGCUGUCACUUACAGAUGGACCCGCGGCGCAUUAGCUAGUUGGUGGGGUAAUGGCUCACCAAGGCGACGAUGCGUAGCCGACCUGAGAGGGUGAUCGGCCACACUGGGACUGAGACACGGCCCAGACUCCUACGGGAGGCAGCAGUAGGGAAUCUUCCGCAAUGGACGAAAGUCUGACGGAGCAACGCCGCGUGAGUGAUGAAGGUUUUCGGAUCGUAAAGCUCUGUUGUUAGGGAAGAACAAGUGCGAGAGUAACUGCUCGCACCUUGACGGUACCUAACCAGAAAGCCACGGCUAACUACGUGCCAGCAGCCGCGGUAAUACGUAGGUGGCAAGCGUUGUCCGGAAUUAUUGGGCGUAAAGGGCUCGCAGGCGGUUUCUUAAGUCUGAUGUGAAAGCCCCCGGCUCAACCGGGGAGGGUCAUUGGAAACUGGGAAACUUGAGUGCAGAAGAGGAGAGUGGAAUUCCACGUGUAGCGGUGAAAUGCGUAGAGAUGUGGAGGAACACCAGUGGCGAAGGCGACUCUCUGGUCUGUAACUGACGCUGAGGAGCGAAAGCGUGGGGAGCGAACAGGAUUAGAUACCCUGGUAGUCCACGCCGUAAACGAUGAGUGCUAAGUGUUAGGGGGUUUCCGCCCCUUAGUGCUGCAGCUAACGCAUUAAGCACUCCGCCUGGGGAGUACGGUCGCAAGACUGAAACUC
rnacentral:rRNA from 2 species